rnacentral:tRNA from 1 species
AGGGUUGUGGCUCAGCGGUAGAGCACUCACCUACCACAUGUGAGGCCCUGAGUUCUAUCCUCAGCACCCCAU